CCUACAGGAGCCGCUGCAAUGAGAAGCCUGCGUGCAGCAAGGAGAGAAAAGCCCCAGCAGCGCUGAUGAACCAGCGCAGCCAAAGUAACAAAUAAGUAAAAUUGUUUCUAAAAGUCAUCAAUCCGGGAGGCGUAAGGAGAAGAAUCACGCCCCCCUCUCUGUGGCUGUUGCUGCUGUAGACAGGCGCUAUCCAGGGGAUGAGGGGCAGGCGACUCGUCCUCAGGGACCACUCCCCCCCAGGAGCCCGGUGGUGGUCGGGGGGCUGUGCCACCCCCACUGGAGCCAUUACCCUUUUGAACUAUCUGUUGGGGGUGGGGGGCAGAUCAGAGGGUUAAAACAGGAAGAAGGAGCUGAAUUACCCCCAGGCUCCCGGGAAACCCACGAGAAUCAGACGGGAGGAACUGCCACGAAGAUCACCGAGCACAUGGCUGGGAAACAGAACUAAAACAUGAAAACGGAUCGUCUUAUUACAGAUGGUCACGAAUGAGAAGCCAGCGUGGGAGAAGGAAGCCCAGGUGAUGGUCGGCCCAGACAAGGGGGUCAGCUCCGGAGUGGACUCUGAGAAGGACCCCACACCUGCGGAGGGGCCUCUCGCAGCCCUCCUGAGGACACGCGGUCACAGGCAAACGCAGAAACACCCGCGCGGCCCUGGAUGCCGAGGCAGAACCCAGGACGCCAGCCUGCAGCCUGAGCGAGUCUUCGGAGUUUCCGGGCCCAGCGCCGCCUGGAACGGCGCCCGCGGGUGGACUAGAGAGAUGCUCAGCUGCGGGCAGAGAGGACCAAGGCCGUGCCGCCGUCUGCAGAGGGCACGGGCAUGCCAGGUCCCCGGAGGAGCUGCAGCCUCACUGUGCAUCGCAGGCUCAUUCCCUCAGGAAGACGGAGGACACAGCGUGGCUCUGCUGGCCUGUCCCCUUGUCCUCCGCCGGCAGUGACGCGGCUGCAGGCUCACAGCACAAGCGUGCUCUGGCCCCAGACACCACCCGGCAGAUCAGCGGCCUCUCCCAGUGCCCGCCUGCUUCCUUGGCACGCCCUGCUCGCCCAGGCGGGCACCCCAGACGCCUGCCCAACCCCAGCCCAGAGUGCUGCAUCCAGUGGUCCCGGAAGACCCCCACGCCAGGAAUGGCCGCUGACCGGCUGAAGACCACGGCCACUUUCCAGGCUGACCCCACGCCAGGAAUGGCCGCUGACCGGCUGAAGGCCACGGCCACUUUCCAGGCUGGGAACUUGGAGCAACAAAGCAAAGCCCUCUCCAGUCUCCUUCCUGGAGGGUCUCAGAAGACGCCCCCGCUUGUCAUCUCAAAGGGGCUCAGAGCCCCAGGUCUGGCCCCUGGCACUUCUGGAGUAGGCUGGGGAUCCUGCCAACAGCCAGGCGGUCGGGCCGGCCCCCGCAGUGGGGGAGCAGGCUGCCCCGAAGUGCGCUCGGGCCUGGAGGCCAAGGGCACAGCCACCAGCAUAAGGCUGGCCUCCCCAUAGCCCAGACAUGGUGACGUCCCUCCCGAGCCCACGCUGCAGCCCGAAACCCCUCCCUCCACAGAGACCGCCUCGCCCUCAGCAGCUCAGGGGCACAGCAGCUGCUCUCAGCCCCAGCUGUUCACUGCCCUGGACCACCGACGACUCCCUCAGGACUUCUGACUUAGCAGACGGGUUAGGCCGGCUCCUGGCCCAGGUACAGCCAAAGACUCGCCCCCUCACCCCAGGGAGAGACGCCAGGAGGGUCCUUGCAGCCCCUCCCCGUUCCAUCAACAAGGGUUAAUUAAAACGCAUGUGGUUCCGAGAAGUGACUGGAAGGGGGGCUGUGGUCUAUUAACUUAUCGUCUCCACUUCCACUGGGCGCGGGGUUCACACAUCUGCAGAUCAUCAGAGCGGAGAUUUCUGGCAAAGGAUGGCUUUGGUCCCCUGCAAGACGGUGUUUCCCAGGUGAACGCCCUAAACGGAGUGGUUAAAAGUGAAAAGCAUAAAUACCCACCCACCAAACGGAGUAAAAAUGGAAAUGUCUCCUGCUUGCGGAGGUGAGCCCGGAGCUUUGCAUCCGUUAACCUUCCCUGGGGGGCCUCUCGUCCCUUGCGAUGAUGGGCGGCCACCGAGACGGCGGACGGCCUGACCUUUAUUCAGCUAAAAGCAUGGGGCCCUGGGUGUUAAGUGGAUGUCACUCCGGGAUGGAAUUGAUCCUAGAAUGAGAAGCUCUGGAGCUGUCUUAGAUAAUGUGAUGGCAAAUGGACUCGGUGUGCUUGGCUCGGGCAAAUUAAACAAAACCCAAUGCAAAUAGUCCUUCCCCUGCUGAGCUGCUUCAGAGACAAGCAGCUCCUCUCCUCUGAAAGAAGGCCUGGUCCUCGGAGACCCAGCGGCUUUCACAGGAUUUUGGAGGGAAAUCCCUGAGCUUGCUGCACAAGGAAACUCCUGGGGGCAGUCAGGUCGACCUUAAUGUCUUCACUCUGAAGGAGUGGCUUUGAAUCUGAAAAAAUAAAUAUACGUAUAUUAAAAUAGUUAAGGAUACUUUUAAGAAGAUUCACAGGAAAGCACUUGCCCCACCAAAAUCAAACAAAGAACGGCAGGCGGUAACAUGGACACAGGCCCCUUCUCAGAGACGGCAGUCACCAACACGGGGUAAACGGCCAAAGCCACGUAAAGACACCGGGAAGCCCGCAGAGCACACGGAGGAGAGAGGCUCAAGCUCGGGGAAAGGCGUCUGGGAAGAGGAGGCGUCAGGGCCCGUCUUCCUGGACCACCACCUUCAGGGAGCACAGAAGGCAAGGCCCGGCCGGCCAGGCCGACAGGCCCGGGGUCAGUGUCCAGGCCCCCCACCCCGUCCAGCAGACUCACCACCUACAGGGAGCGCAGAAGGCAAGGCCCGGCCGGCCAGGCUGACAGGCCCGGGGUCAGUGUCCAGCAGAUUCCCCUUCUGGGCCUUGGGGCAGCCUCCAGGGCCCUGAACGAGAAAUCUUUUUAGGACAAAGCCAAGUCAAAGCCACAGUAUCAUGAUUUCUGAUAAAUUAAUGCUGUAUGCAGAAGUAAAGACAAGGGGAAAAUCAAACGUGGUUGGGGUGUAUUUAAAAUGUGUCGCAUUUAAUUCACACCUAAGUUGUGACUUGUUUCUUUUGCUUUGCUGAAAAGGUCUUCCCAUUUUUUAAGCUGUCAAAGGAAAGAGCAAGUGAAGGGAAAUUAGAAAUAAAGUAAGGACUUCCUGUGGUGGUCCAGACGUUAAGACUGCGCCCUCCCAGCGCAGGGGCCUGGGUUUGAUCCCGGUCAGGAAACCACAUGCUUAACCAGGAGUUCACGCACCACAAUGAGGACCCGGUGCAGUCAAAUAAAGUGAUUAACUGAAAUUUAAAAAAAAAGAAAAAGAAAAUAACGGAUUAGAGAGUGAUGUUGCCGUUCUUCCAAAAGGUACACAUAGAAAUGCCGCACGACCCAGUGAUUCCACUCCUCGGCUUUACCCGGGAGACAUGGGACAGCAGACGGUGGGGACAGCCCCAGGGUCCUCAGCUGAGGACACAGAGGCAGUCUGUCCAUAAAGUGCGUGGACUGACCAUCCGGCCUUAAGAAGGGAUGGAGCCUCACGCUCGCUGCAGCACCGUGAACCCUGCAGACAGUCUGCUCAGUGAAGGGUGCUGGAUGCAAAGGGCAGAUACUGUGUGAAUCCAUUUAUGGGAAAUGUCAGGACAGGCAAACCCACGGAGACAGAAAGCAGGUUUUGCUUCCAGGGGCUGGGGGAAGACAGGAGGGGCGUCAGAGCUGCACGGGUAGGGAGGAACCCUUGGAGUGAUGACGUGUUUCAGAACGCUAUAGGGGUGGUGGUCCCAAAAUACCGUGAGUGUGCCACACACCCCCGAACCGUUCACUUUAAAAUGGUCGUGUUACACGAAUCCCACUUCAGUAAAAUGAAACAAGUCGUGGAAGUUACGGAGAUGAUCCUAAGAACUGCCAGAGCUGUGUGCAAACUCAGAAGCCUCCCCAGGCCAAGGUGCAGGCAGUCCCUGACUCCAGGCAAUGGCCCGUGUCCCCCAGGCUUGAUCCCCACGAGGGUGGCAUCCUGAUGAUGGCCUCUUGCCCCUUCAGACUAACUCAGUCUGGCAGGGACACAGACGUCAGUGCUCAGCAGGCUGAGAGCAGGCGGAAUGCUGGUCCCCCUCUGCUGACGCCCUUGGCCAUUCCCCACACCCCCACCCGUUAUACGCAGAGCUCUCAUUUGAUGCCUGAUAACCCAGUACAGGUCAAGUCUCACCUGCCAUGAGUCCUUCCCACUUGCAUCAGAGAACUGGCUUAUGGUUUCAAGAGUUUGUUCGUGGUCCCAAAUUAUUUGUAUGUCUGUCUGUCUGUGGGGCCGGCGGGGCAGCCUCUCCCUCUUCUGGUCUCAGAGAAAGUCCCUUUCGGUCACAGGCGAGCCUGGGUUUGCCAUCUGAGCAGGCUCGGCCCGCAUGCCCACUUAAUCUAAACCAUUAAGAUGUUCUGGGCGGAUCAGAUCGUUUCGGGCCGCACGCCGUCCCCGGGCCCAGGCACCCAACAGCCGCCACGUCUGACUACACGGUGCCGCGCUGAGCUGACUGGCCGUGCGGGGCUGUUUGCGUGGGCGAUGAGGGUGCAGUGAUCCAGAAAGAACGCGGGUCCAGGCAGGCAGCUCUUUCCCUAACACCCUGCUCCGCAGUCAGGAAAUACAGCGCCCGCACCCCUGGGGGUGUGAACACUCUGUUAAAACCAGCAACCAGGAGGGAAGAGAUCCAGAGAUGUGGCCGCAUCACGGAUGCAGAG
ensembl:lncRNA